GGCAGGCAAACAGGAACGGAAGUUCUCACUCUGGGUCACGUUUUUCAUCCGGAACUAGCAGUCCAGUCUUUCAGCCUUCAGGCUGUUUUUGACUUGAAGGUGGGAUUUCACAAGGGACCGGCCCCUAUCUGCCUAGGCAUUUGACUGCCUCCUGUCACUUAUCACUCAUACGUUUAAAUUUUUAUUUUGUUUUAGAACAUCAAACCUCUAAAAGCCUUCCAUAUCCUCACUUUCAAUUGUCUAUAUCCUAUGUCACUAAAGAAACAGAAGCAAUCAGAAGAGAACUUCCAUUAGCUUCCUCUGUCACCAUCCACCCACCUGCAUUGAGCAAGUUAAAUCUUAUUAGUGUGCCUCCUCCAGAGAAGUACUUCUUCAGUGGCAGUGUUUUAAUGACGUAAAGAAGUCUUUAUUAAUCAGAAAGAAAUCUUACAAUAAAUAAUUUGGGAAUGCAAAUAUUUUUAUGAUCUCAUACAAUUUUAUUAUUCCACCCAUCACAGAAUGAACCUGAUAUUAGGAAAUCUAUGACAUUAAGUAACAUUUUUUAAAAGACUUUUUACAUUCAUCCCUCAAGAAGUAGAGCGCAUUUCCUUUUCUAGCAGCCGCAAAUGACAACCUGCACAAGUUCAACAAUCCACAACUAUAUACAUGGCUACUAUGCAUGAAUAUGAUGACUGCAAAGGAUUGGAAGAAAAGUUAUAAAUAGGUGCUCAUGGAAAUGUCACCUUAGUUCUGAGACUAUAGAAACACUUUUCAGCUGUAC